GUCUCUUCUUUUCUCCCCAUCUGAAUCUCACCAUCCUCCCUCCACUCCGCCACCACCACCACCACCACAGUCUAAAUCCAAGCGCUUUUGAAGUCCGCGUCGGAGACUAUGGUGACGACGCAGCGAAGAAGAUUAUGCGACGGCGGAUUUCUUCGCAGGCAUAGCCGUACGGAAAUCCGGUGAGGCGAGCGAAAGCGGCGUUGGAGAACGGCGGAGUGGCAUACGGUGGAGGAGAAACCAAGUCG
rnacentral:lncRNA from 1 species